GAUGAACGCUGGCGGCGUGCCUAAUACAUGCAAGUCGAGCGAACAGACGAGGAGCUUGCUCCUCUGACGUUAGCGGCGGACGGGUGAGUAACACGUGGAUAACCUACCUAUAAGACUGGGAUAACUUCGGGAAACCGGAGCUAAUACCGGAUAAUAUAUUGAACCGCAUGGUUCAAUAGUGAAAGACGGUUUUGCUGUCACUUAUAGAUGGAUCCGCGCCGCAUUAGCUAGUUGGUAAGGUAACGGCUUACCAAGGCAACGAUGCGUAGCCGACCUGAGAGGGUGAUCGGCCACACUGGAACUGAGACACGGUCCAGACUCCUACGGGAGGCAGCAGUAGGGAAUCUUCCGCAAUGGGCGAAAGCCUGACGGAGCAACGCCGCGUGAGUGAUGAAGGUCUUCGGAUCGUAAAACUCUGUUAUUAGGGAAGAACAAAUGUGUAAGUAACUAUGCACGUCUUGACGGUACCUAAUCAGAAAGCCAUGGCUAACCACGUGCCAGCCGCCGCCGUAAGAC
rnacentral:rRNA from 1 species